rnacentral:snRNA from 1 species
GUGCUCGCUUCAGCAGCACAUAUACUAAAAUUGGAACGAUACAGAGAAGAUUGGCAUGGCCCCUGCACAAGGAUGACACGCAAAUUCGUGAAGUGUUCCAUAAAAAA